rnacentral:rRNA from 1 species
CAGCAGCCGCGGUAAUACGUAGGUGGCAAGCGUUGUCCGGAAUCAUUGGGCGUAAAGCGCGCGUAGGUGGCUUGUCAGGUCUGAUGUGAAAACCUGGGGCUCAACUCCAGGCCUGCAUCGGAAACCGGCUUGCUA